rnacentral:tRNA from 1 species
GGCGCCAUAGUGUAGUGGUUAGCACGCCUUCUUUACACGCAGAAGGUCCUGGGUUUGCACCCCAGGUGGAGCCA